GUCAUCCAACUAGUUGUACUUCUAUUGAAAAGGCGUUUUCCAUCUACAAAGUAUGGCAGCUUUUUCAAAAAACUCACUCAAAAUUCAAUUUUGAGGCUUUCCUUAUUCCAGAUUCAUGUCCAUCUGAUGAGUUUGCCAACUAUGGCACAAUGUACUUGAAAUAUGGAAUGUCAACGAGUUUCCCGCCAAAUCGGCCUGCUCUUGGUCGUAGCAACUCCGAGCCACUUUCCGAAUCAAACUAGUAACAUAAGAAACGUAGAGAUCUCUUCAAUUACAGGCAGGUCACUUUAUAUCAUUCACUUUUAAGUGGUUCGUUUCAGGCGGAAAAUUCAAACUUUUUUUCAGUGCAUGUUUCUUGAGUUCCCAAGGCAUGGUUUUGGGCUCAAAUUUGGCCAAGAUCAUCUCUUCAGCAAGAUUUUGUGGUCUUGACAUCUCUAGAAGUUCGUGGUAUAAUCCAACAUUUGCCGCAUAACCCAGUCAUUGGGGCUCAAGGAAUCGAAGGUUCAAAGGCUUCUCUGGCCGCUUCUUCCCAAUCACGUCCGUAUUAACGCCAUGCUCUCAGGCUGUCCAGAGAUUUGGCUGGAAAGAGCAUUGGAUAUCAGUUCUUCUUUCUUCCCGUCCACUAUUUUUGGGCCACUCACUCUUCAUGAGAUCUACUUGGAUUGGCAAUAGAGCGAAGGUCGAAUCAA